AAAAUCUGAGUGUCAAUAGGGGCAGCUGCGUCUGCUUUCUUCACUAAGAGUCUUUGCCAUUGAUUCAGUGUUGCUGCAGGGCUUCAGGCAGCUCAGUUUCAUGAAAGUCAGUGCCAUGCCAAACAUUGAAAGGUGCUGCUGCAAAUGUCUGCUCACUAAGGGCACCAAUUAACUUCCCAUAAGAAGUUAGUUAACUACUCCAACCAUAAGAAAACACCUAGCAUGGGAAAUUAAAUGACAUUUCCAGCAAUCUUCUAGGAUGAUUCGAGAAUCACAGCUCCCAGAGAACCCUAAACAACUUUCCUUAUAAUCAAGAAUGUCUAUAUAAUCAAGAAUUUUUGAAAAUCAUUCCAUAUAAUAUAAAUCAGCCAAAUUUCUAGAAUAAAGAUUAAUGAAUGAAUUAAAAGAAAUACCUCUAGCUACUGGAAUACAUCUUGGUCCUUGUGCCUAAUAUGUUCAUUUACA